GACGAACGCUGGCGGCGUGCUUAACACAUGCAAGUCGAACGGAAAGGCUCCAGCUUGCUGGUGUCCUCGAGUGGCGAACGGGUGAGUAACACGUGGGUAAUCUGCCCUGCACUCUGGGAUAAGCCUGGGAAACUGGGUCUAAUCCUGGAUAUGACCUUUCUCCUUAUGGGGUGUGGGGGAACGUUUUUCGGUGUAGGAUGAGCCCGCGGCCUAUCGGCUUGUUGGUGGGGUGAUGGCCUAGCACGGCGACGACGGGUUGCCGGCCUGAGAGGGUGAUCGGCCACAUUGGGACUGAGAUACGGCCCAGACUCCUACGGGAGGCAGCAGUGGGGAAUAUUGCACAAUGGGCGGAAGCCUGAUGCAGCGACGCCGCGUGAGGGAUGACGGCCUUCGGGUUGUAAACCGCUUUCAGCAGGGACGAAGCGUAAGUGACGGUACCUGCAGAAGAAGCACCGGCUAACUAUGUG
rnacentral:rRNA from 1 species